UGUGCGAAGGUAGCAUAAUCAGUAGUCUUUUAAUUGGAGGCUGGAAUGAAGGGUCGGACAAGGGGGAAGCUGUCUUUUUUACAAUUUUUGAAUUUUACUUUUAAGUGAAAAGGCUUAAAUGGGUUGGGGGGACGAUAAGACCCUAUAAAAUUUUACAAAAUUAGGAUUUUUUUUUAAAUUAAGGUUUAAAUUCUAUAAGUUCUUGUUUGUUGUGUUGGGGCGGCAAAGAUAAAAAUUAGUAACUGUCAUUUAAUCAGAAUAAGUAUAAUUAGUUUAGUUGAUCCUUUAUUAGAGAUUAAAAGAUUAAGUUACUUUAGGGAUAACAGCGUAAUUUUCCCUGAGAGUUCUUAUCGACGGGAGUAGUUGCGACCCCGAU
rnacentral:rRNA from 1 species